rnacentral:tRNA from 1 species
AAAAAGAUAAGCUAACUAAGCUAUCGGGUUCAUACCCCGCUAAUGAAGAUUAAAAUUCUUCUCUUUUUA